rnacentral:tRNA from 1 species
GCACCCUUAGCUCAAUUGGAUAGAGCGUCGGUCUACGGAAUCGAAGGUUGGGAGUUCGAGCCUCUUAGGGUGCGCCA